UUUCUCCCUUCACCUUCCUCGUCUUUCCUGGUCACACAGUGCUGGUGAACCAGGACGAGGCUUCACCUUACGAGGAGCUACGUGGUUUUAUUACUAGGCUGAAAUUUACGGUUAAAACUCGGCCUAUACUCGCCUAUAUGUGGUUACAGGGGUGGAGCCGAAGCUCAUAGUUGUUUGAAGGAGGAAGCGGCCUCCCUAGCUCACUCUGGACAGCUCGUCAGAGUCUGGCGACCUUUACAUCACUGAAUCUUGCCUCGCGCAGUCCUCCAAUCAGUGGAAUGAAAGUGCACUUGGAUCUGAAGAAAAUAGGUGUGGCAGGACAGUUAAUAUAACUGAUGUCCGGUGAAAUUAAUCCUGGAGUUCUCUUCUGGGAUCCUUCUUGGAUUACGUUAUUCUGAUUCACUGUUCGAGACCUGAAUCCUCAGGAACCGUGUUGGAAAUGACUUCUUUAGAACCAGUGUCUGGUCUUGGCCGGAUUUAAUUCUUACCUUCAGUCGUGCGUCUUCAUGGGAAGAUAAAAGUUCACCAUGUACUUGUUUACCAUAAAUACCGCUGACGCUAGAUACGAAGACUGUCCCGCUGGUCAUUGUCCAUUUAGAGAACACGCGAGAGAUCUCUGGAAGAUCAUCGGCGAGCAUUUUUGGUUGCAAUAUAGCUGGACCAUGUCAUUUGUUAGAUUUUU